GGAUAACUAUUAUCCAAUGCUUCUCAAGCAUGAUGCAAUGAUUGAUCUCUAAGUCAUGAAGCCUCAACAUGCCUGUUUAUUGGCCCAAUCCUUAGUUAAGUCAGACCCAUCAUUCAAUAUAUAAGCAAAGCCAUCAUUGGAUCCCUCACUGUGCCUGAUUAUUGCACCUAACCCCAUCUCUACCUAACAAUAUCUCAUGCUAAUAGGGUGGUUGUAUCUUUCUAGUGCAACUAAACCAUUGUAACC
rnacentral:lncRNA from 1 species